rnacentral:rRNA from 1 species
UGCAAAUCGUUCGUCAUACUUGGGUAUAGGGGCGAAAGACUAAUCGAACCAUCUAGUAGCUGGUUCCCUCCGAAAUUUCCCUCAGGAUAGCAGGAACCUAGCAGUUUUACCGGGUAAAGCGAAUGAUUAGAGGGCCGGGAGUUGCAACAACUUCCACCUAUUCUCAAACUUUGAAUUGGUAAGCGCUGCAGUUGCUUAGUUGAACUGCAGCACGAAUGCGGGUUCCUAGUGGGCCAUUUUUGGUAAGCAGAACUGGCGAUGAGGGCUGAACCUAACGCGAGGAUAAGGCGACCCACUGGCGGCUCAUAGAUACCAGAAAAGGUGUUAGUUCAUUUAGACAGUAGGACGGUGGCCAUGGAAGUCGGAACCCGCUAAGGAGUGUGUAACAAGUCACCUAGAGAAUGAACUAGUCCUG